rnacentral:rRNA from 1 species
AACGAACGCUGGCGGCAGGCCUAACACAUGCAAGUCGAACGGGCGUAGCAAUACGUCAGUGGCAGACGGGUGAGUAACGCGUGGGAACGUACCUUUUGGUUCGGAACAACCCAGGGAAACUUGGGCUAAUACCGGAUAAGCCCUUACGGGGAAAGAUUUAUCGCCGAAAGAUCGGCCCGCGUCUGAUUAGCUAGUUGGUGUGGUAACGGCGCACCAAGGCGACGAUCAGUAGCUGGUCUGAGAGGAUGAUCAGCCACAUUGGGACUGAGACACGGCCCAAACUCCUACGGGAGGCAGCAGUGGGGAAUAUUGGACAAUGGGCGCAAGCCUGAUCCAGCCAUGCCGCGUGAGUGAUGAAGGCCCUAGGGUUGUAAAGCUCUUUUACCCGGGAAGAUAAUGACUGUACCGGGAGAAUAAGCCCCGGCUAACUUCGUGCCAGCAGCCGCCGC